rnacentral:piRNA from 1 species
UAUAUCCCUCCUCGUCGUGUU